AUACGGAGGGGGCUAGCGUUGUUCGGAAUUACUGGGCGUAAAGCGCGUGUAGGCGGAUCGUUAAGUCAGGGGUGAAAGCCCGGGGCUCAACCCCGGAACUGCCCUUGAUACUGGCGAUCUAGAGUCCGGAAGAGGUGGGCGGAAUUCCCGGUGUAGAGGUGAAAUUCGUAGAUAUCGGGAGGAACACCAGUGGCGAAGGCGGCUCACUGGUCCGGCACUGACGCUGAGACGCGAAAGCGUGGGGAGCAAACAGGAUUAGAUACCCCAGUAGUCC
rnacentral:rRNA from 1 species